rnacentral:rRNA from 1 species
GAGUUUGAUCUUGGCUCAGAACGAACGCUGGCGGCAGGCUUAACACAUGCAAGUCGAACGAGCUGGGACCUUCGGGUCCCGAUGCUAGUGGCGCACGGGUGAGUAACACGUGGGAACGUACCCUUUAGUACGGAAUAACCCAGGGAAACUUGGGCUAAUACCGUAUGACUCCUUCGGGAGAAAGAUUUAUCGCUAAAGGAACGGCCCGCGUCUGAUUAGGUAGUUGGUGAGGUAACGGCUCACCAAGCCAACGAUCAGUAGCUGGUCUGAGAGGAUGAUCAGCCACACUGGGACUGAGACACGGCCCAGACUCCUACGGGAGGCAGCAGUGGGGAAUAUUGGACAAUGGGGGCAACCCUGAUCCAGCCAUGCCGCGUGAGUGAAGAAGGCCUUC